CGCAGAUCAGAAUGCUGCGGUGAAUGCGUUCCCGGGUCUUGUACACACCGCCCGUCACACCACGGGAGUUGGAGACGCCCGAAGCCGAUUAUCUAACCUUUUGGAAGAAGGCGGCGAAGGUGGAAUCAAUAACUGGGGUGAAGUCGUAACAAGGUAGCCGUAUCGGAAGGUGCGGCUGGAUCACCUCCUUUCUAAGGAGA
rnacentral:rRNA from 1 species